rnacentral:rRNA from 1 species
AACGAACGCUAGCGGCGUGUUUGAUUCAUGCAAGUCGAGCGAGAAAGCUCCUUCGGGAGCAAGUACAGCGGCGGACUGCUGAGUAAUACACAGGUAACCAACCCGCGAGACCGGAAUAACUUCGCGAAAGCGAGGCUAAUGCCGGAUAUUAUGCUCGACCGCCUGGUUGAGUAUGAAAUGGUUUCCCUUCGGGGUUUCCGCUCACGGACGGGCCUGUGGCCUAUUAGCUUGUUGGUGGGGUAACGGCCCACCAAGGCUGAGAUGGGUAGCCGGCCUGAGAGGGCGAUCGGCCAGACUGGGACUGAGACACUGCCCAGACUCCUACGGGAGGCAGCAGAGGAGAAUCAUCCGCAAUGGGCGCAAGCCUGACGGUGCGACGCCGCGUGGACGAUGAAGGCCUUCGGGUUGUAAAGUCCUGUCAGAGGCCCAUGAAAGUGGGCCGGUGAAUAACCGGUUCUUUGACCAGCCUCAAAGGAAGUCCGGCUAACUUCGUGCCAGCAGCAGCGGUAAUACGGAGGGACCCAGCGUUGUUCGGAAUUACUGGGCAUAAAGGGUGUCUAGGCGGAUCGAUAAGUCGGGUAUGAAAGCCCUGGGCUCAACUCAGGAACUGUGCCCGAUACUGUCGGCCUUGAGUGCAGAAGGGGAGAGUGGAACUCCUGGUGUAGCGGUGAAAUGCGUUGAUAUCAGGAUGAACGCCGGUGGCGAAAGCGACUCUCUGGUCUGCUACUGACGCUGAAGCACGAAAGCUAGGGGAGCGAACGGGAUUAGAUACCCUGGUAGUCCACGCCGUAAACGAUGGGAACUAGGUGUAGCGGGUAUUGAUCCCUGCUGUGCCGGAGUUAACGCAUUAAGUUCCCCGCCUGGGGAGUACGGUCGCAAGGCUA